UACAGAGGGUGCGAGCGUUGUCCGGAAUCACUGGGCGUAAAGGGCGCGUAGGUGGCGCCCCAAGUCCGUGGUGAAAGCUCGAUGCUCAACAUCGAGUCGGCCACGGAACUGGGGGGCUCGAGCACUGUAGAGGCAGAUGGAAUUCCACGUGUAGCAGUGAAAUGCGUAGAGAUGUGGAGGAAUACCAAUGGCGAAGGCAGCCCCCUGGGUUAACACUGACGCUCAUGCACGAAAGCGUGGGGAGCAAACAGG
rnacentral:rRNA from 1 species